GACGAACGCUGGCGGCGUGCCUAACACAUGCAAGUCGAACGAAACCUCCCGGCUUGGUGGCGCCCGGGUGCGCAAAGCGGGGGAAAAUACCCUUAGGAUCGGAAUCACUCCCUGAAAGGGGCCUUAAUAACGGAUAAUAAUAUUGGACAAAAGCUUUAUCGCCGUUGGGUGGGGCCGAGUUGGAUUAGGUUGUUGGUAGGGUAAGAGCCUUACAAGGCGACGAUUCAUAGCUGGUCUGAGAGGAGGAUCAGCGACACUGCGACUGAGACACGGCCUAGACGCGGACGGGAGGGAGCAGAGUGGAAUAUGGGACAAUGGGCGAUGGCGUGAUCCAGCAUGGCCGCGUGAGUGAUGAGGGUCGUAGGGUUGUAAAGCUCUUUUAGACGGGAUGAUAAUGACGGUAGCGGGAGAAGAAGCACCGGCUAACUACGUG
rnacentral:rRNA from 1 species